rnacentral:ncRNA from 1 species
UACGCAGAUGCCGAAAAGCGAUAACAAAGUAGGCA